rnacentral:lncRNA from 1 species
UUCCAGUAUCCUUUACUUUGCAUAGUCAUUUACACUUGCUGAAAGUGAGUGCAAAGUGGAUGCAAAAUGCUACCUCAUCAACUGGUAAUGUUUUGCACAGGUGUAAAUGACUAUACAAGCUGCAAUGCUGUGCUAAAAUCAGGCUUCUUAUCUUGGUUGAUUGGAGGUAAAGCCAUUAUACUUUUAAAAAGACCUCUUGCAGACUACUCCUCUUUCUUUAAGUUCAAGAGUUUCUUAUGUUACUCUAGUGCUUGCAGUAAGUUAGUAGUAAAGCUAAAGGUCAAGAGGAAGAAUGAAAAGAAGGGAGCAUCACAGACUCCCACUGCAGUGAAGAGUUGCAUAGAGGAAAAGCCAUGA